rnacentral:tRNA from 1 species
GUUGACUAGGUGUUUGCAUGUCGGGUUUUCGUUUCGGAGGUCUCACGUUGUGGAGGGUUAAUA